AAGAGCUCGUAGGCGGUUUGUCGCGUCUGCCGUGAAAGUCCGAGGCUCAACUUCGGAUCUGCGGUGGGUACGGGCAGACUAGAGUGAUGUAGGGGAGACUGGAAUUCCUGGUGUAGCGGUGAAAUGCGCAGAUAUCAGGAGGAACACCGAUGGCGAAGGCAGGUCUCUGGGCAUCUACUGACGCUGAGGAGCGAAAGCAUGGGGAGCGAACAGGAUUAGAUACCCUGGUAGUCCAUGCCGUAAACGUUGGGCACUAGGUGUGGGGGACAUUCCACGUUUUCCGCGCCGUAGCUAACGCAUUAAGUGCCCCGCCUGGGGAGUACGGCCGCAAGGCUAAAACUCAAAGGAAUUGACGGGGGCCCGGCACAAGCGGCGGAGCAUGCGGAUUAAUUCGAUGCAACGCGAAGAACCUUACCAAGGCUUGACAUGUGCUAGAUCGCCAUAGAAAUAUGGUUUCCCCUUUGGGGCUGGUUCACAGGUGGUGCAUGGUUGUCGUCAGCUCGUGUCGUGAGAUGUUGGGUUAAGUCCCGCAACGAGCGCAACCCUCGUUCUAUGUUGCCAGCACGUUAUGGUGGGGACUCAUAGGAGACUGCCGGGGUCAACUCGGAGGAAGGUGGGGACGACGUCAAAUCAUCAUGCCCCUUAUGUCUUGGGCUUCACGCAUGCUACAAUGGCCGGUACAAUGGGUUGCGAUACUGUGAGGUGGAGCUAAUCCCAAAAAGCCGGUCUCAGUUCGGAUUGGGGUCUGCAACUCGACCCCAUGAAGUCGGAGUCGCUAGUAAUCGCAGAUCAGCAACGCUGCGGUGAAUACGUUCCCGGGCCUUGUACACACCGCCCGUCAAGUCACGAAAGUUGGUAACACCCGAAGCCGGUGGCCUAACCCCUUGUGGGAGGGAGCCGUCGAARGUGGGACUGGCGAUUGGGACUAAGUCGUAACAAGGUAACCGUAA
rnacentral:rRNA from 1 species